GACGUUUUUAAUGUCUGUUUUUUCUGUUACUGUUUUCAUUUCUAGCAUUUCCAUUUAAUCAUCUCUUUUGAAAUUACCCAUCUGAUUUUACAUGUUUUCCACCAUUUCUGUUAGAGUCUUUAAUAUAUUAGUUAUAAUUACUUAAAAUUAUGUUAGAUGGUUUCAACAUCUAUGUCAUAUCUGAAUCUGGUUCUGAUGAUUACUCUGUGUCUUGGUAGUAUUUAGUUAGUCUCUUUUCAUAUGCUAUGUAAUUUUUGGUUGAAAUCCACAUAUCUUGUGUUAGACUCUACUGAGGUAAAUAGAUUUUGUUCCUGGAAAUGAGCAUGACUUUCCUGCUAGGCUUUUAGACUAGGGGUUUGAGUUAAUCUAGUUGGGAGUUGGCAGAAUUUAAGAUAUGUUGUUUGUGUUAUUACCCUUAGUGCACUACAGGCUUCAAAUUUCUGUAAAAACACCUUGUGUUUUAGGAUAGGGGUUAGUUUAUCAAAGCCAUGUCUUUUCCUUUCUGAGUUUUUAGGUUUUCCCUUUGUGCCUCAGAGUCUCUUUGCAUGUUUUUAUUUAUCUCCAGUCCCUCUGUCAGCAGUAUUCUAUUGGUACUUCUAAUUCUAACUUGUUAGCUUGGUGGUGGGAAGUGGUGGGAUGAUUGUCCUCUCUUGUUCUUGGGGAGGCUCUGUCUAUGGGUCUUGGGGGUGUGGCCUUCUUGGUUUUCUUGCCCCUUCUCUAGAUGUAGUUGUAAGCCAAGGGCAUAAUCCUUCCCUUCUCCCAAGAAAAGAGUAAGUGCUCAGUGGAGUUUGUGGAGAAGAAGCCUGUAAGAAAGUGUAAGCCCCCUCAAUGUCUGUGGCCCACAGGGGUUUCACAGUCUAUUGCAACAGCCCAUACGCAGUCCUCAUCAAUUAAUAUGCCAUGUAUUCGGGUGGAAUUCGUACCUGUAGUCCAACUGGCAGAGGCAAGAGCAUACAUUUUCCCUCUCCCUACAGGUGUUAUCUCUUCUGAAUUUUGGGGCACUUGGGUGUUUUGUGUCCUUGGUUCUGAUAAAUUAGAAAAGAAAGUGAGUCUGAAGUUACUAGGCCCAUUUUAAAUGUAGGAAUGAGAAUGAUUACUUUUUUUUUCUAUAUCCUGGGGCAGAAAUUGAAAUAAACUCAUGAGUUUUUAAUGCUGCUAAUAUUUUGUUUAUGCUAAUUUGCCUCAUAAUCAUAAAGAACAUACAUCCAUCAUAUUUAAGUCCAUAAAGCUUUUCCUCUUCAAUUAAGCACAAGCCGUUGACACAAAAUAAACUUUUAUUUUCUUUCCUAACUGAAGAAUACAUUUUACAUUAUUCUAAUAUUACAAUAAUGCCUUAUUUUUGGAGUUUUUGAGUGUGUUGUGUUUGUUUAGUAUUUAACCUUCUGGAGAACAAGAAGGUUUUAUUCUUAUAAUUUACAACAGCUAGGACAUUUCAAGGCAUAGGGAAUUAAUAAAUUAAAACAAAGGCAGAAUUAUCAGACACAACUUAGAAUAGAUUUACAAGGAGAUCCUGCUGAGUAGCAUUGAGAACUUUGUCUAGAUACUCAUGUUGCAACAGAACAAAAGGUGGGGAAAAAAUGUAAUUGUAAUGUAUACAUGUAAGGAUAACUUGAUCCCCUUGCUGUACAGUGGGAAAAUAAAAUAAAAUAAAUUAAAAAAAAGCAGAUUUAAAAAAUUAUUUUUCUUUUACAAAAUCUGAUGUGAAAUAAUGUACGUAGUAGGCAUAUCAUAACAUCUAAACUCUCAAGAGUGAACCUAGUAAGAAUUCGUUUCCAUACAUCUUUUCCGUGCCAGUCCAGUUCUGAACUCUUCAGACUGAGCAGAAAUGUGCUGUUCUAGGGGUCAUUGUCAUUUGGAGAUGUGACUGUAGAUUUCACCCAGGAGGAAUGGAAGCACCUAGACCCUUCUCUGAGGAUGCUGUAUAGGGAUGUGAUGCUGGAGAACUACCACAAUCUUGUCUCAGUGGGUUAUUUCACUACCAAGCCAGAGGUAAUUUUCAAAUUGGAGCAAGGAGGGGAGCCAUGGAUAUUAGAAGAAGAAUUUCUAUACCAGACCUGCCCAGGUGAGUUAGUGAUUUCCAGGCAAGAGGAAGCCUUGGGAAACUAUGUUCUCAGGGGUCAUCGUAGGAGUUGAACAUUUAAAAUAUUUUCUUAAGAAUCUCUUCUUAGUGGCACCUAAUUUGGAAAUAAAGAAAGGAUACAUAUAUGAUAAAAUUGGAAGAGGAAAGUGUAAUGACUAAGAAGAAAUGUAAGCUGGUUUUCUGAUUGUUAAAAGAUCCAGAGUUCCCACAAUGUGCAGUGGAAAAGAAUCCAACUAGGAACCAUGAGGUUGUGGGUUUGAUCCCUGGCUUUACUCGGUGAGUUAAGGAUCUGGCGUUGCAGGUGGCAGAUGCGGCUCGGAUCCCUUAUUGCUGUGGCUCUGGCGUAGGCCAGCGGCUACAGCUCCAAUUGGACCCCUAGCCUGGGAACCUCCAUAUGCCGUGGGUGCGGCCCUGAAAAGACGAAAAAAAAAGCCAAAUAAAAUAAAAGCUAGAGAUCCAAAGGUAUCAUUUACACAGAGAACUCAAGUAAUGCAGCCAUUUGUAUGCUUAAUAGCACAAAGAUAAAAAAUAAAAAAUGUAAUAAAAUCU
rnacentral:lncRNA from 9 species